UACGGGGGGGGCAAGCGUUGUUCGGAAUUACUGGGCGUAAAGGGUGCGUAGGCGGUUCGCUAAGUUGGAUGUGAAAACUCUGGGCUUAACCCAGAGCCUGCAUCCAAUACUGACGAGCUAGAGUUCUGGAGGGGGUAGCGGAAUUCCUGGUGUAGCGGUGAAAUGCGUAGAUAUCAAGAGGAACACCUGAGGUGAAGACGGGUUGCUGGGCUGAUACUGACGCUGAAGCGCGAAAGCUAGGGUAGCAAACGGG
rnacentral:rRNA from 1 species